ACAUAAGGGCGACCAAUACAAAUUAAUGUUAGUGCGAUCGCACAGCUGAAAGGUGCUUGCACCUUUCAAGUGAGUGGCGAACGGGUGAUUAACACGUGGACAACCUGCCUCAAGGCUGGGGAUAACAUUUGGAAACAGAUGCUAAUACCGAAUAAAACUUAGUGUCGCAUGACACAAAGUUAAAAGGCGCUUCGGCGUCACCUAGAGAUGGAUCCGCGGUGCAUUAGUUAGUUGGUGGGGUAAAGGCCUACCAAGACAAUGAUGCAUAGCCGAGUUGAGAGACUGAUCGGCCACAUUGGGACUGAGACACGGCCCAAACUCCUACGGGAGGCUGCAGUAGGGAAUCUUCCACAAUGGGCGAAAGCCUGAUGGAGCAACGCCGCGUGUGUGAUGAAGGCUUUCGGGUCGUAAAGCACUGUUGUAUGGGAAGAACAGCUAGAAUAGGAAAUGAUUUUAGUUUGACGGUACCAUACCAGAAAGGGACGGCUAAAUACGUGCCAGCAGCCGCGGUAAUACGUAUGUCCCGAGCGUUAUCCGGAUUUAUUGGGCGUAAAGCGAGCGCAGACGGUUUAUUAAGUCUGAUGUGAAAGCCCGGAGCUCAACUCCGGAAUGGCAUUGGAAACUGGUUAACUUGAGUGCAGUAGAGGUAAGUGGAACUCCAUGUGUAGCGGUGGAAUGCGUAGAUAUAUGGAAGAACACCAGUGGCGAAGGCGGCUUACUGGACUGCAACUGACGUUGAGGCUCGAAAGUGUGGGUAGCAAACAGGAUUAGAUACCCUGGUAGUCCACACCGUAAACGAUGAACACUAGGUGUUAGGAGGUUUCCGCCUCUUAGUGCCGAAGCUAACGCAUUAAGUGUUCCGCCUGGGGAGUACGACCGCAAGGUUGAAACUCAAAGGAAUUGACGGGGACCCGCACAAGCGGGGGAGCAUGUGGUUUAAUUCGAAGCAACGCGAAGAACCUUACCAGGUCUUGACAUCCUUUGAAGCUUUUAGAAAAAGAAAGUGUUCUCUUCGGAAAACAAAGUGACAGGUGGUGCAUGGUCGUCCUCAGCUCGUGUCCUGAAGAUGUUGGGUUAAGUCCCCCACCGAGCCCAACCCUUAUUGUUAGUUGCCAGCAUUCAGAUGGGCACUCUAGCGAGACGGCCGGGGAAAAACCGGAAGAAAGGCGGGGAACAACGUCAGAAUUUUCAUGCCCCUUAUGAACCUGGGCUAACAACGGGCUACAAUGGCGUAAACAACGAAUUUUCCCACCCCCGGGGG
rnacentral:rRNA from 1 species